AUUGAACGCUGGCGGCAGGCCUAACACAUGCAAGUCGAGCGAGCGGCGGACGGGUGAGUAAUGUCUGGGAAACUGCCUGAUGGAGGGGGAUAACUACUGGAAACGGUAGCUAAUACGGCACACCAUCAGAUGUGCCCAGAUGGGCUUAGCUAGUAGGUGGGGUAACGGCUCACCUAGGCGACGAUCCCUAGCGGGUCUGAGAGGAUGACCAGCCACACUGGAACUGAUCCACGGUCCAUACUCCUACGGGAGGCAGCAGUGGGGAAUAUUGCACAAGGGGCGCAAGCCUGAUGCAGCCAUGCCGCGUGUGGGAAAAGGGCCUUCGGGUUGUAAAGCACUUUCAGCGGGGAGGCGUUACCCGCAGAAGAAGCACCGGCUAACUCCGUGCCAGCAGCCGCGGUAAUAC
rnacentral:rRNA from 1 species